AAGCAGCAGUGAAGCUAUGAGCCAGUUGUGGGAGCAACUUGUAUUUGUGCUGCACCCACUGUUUACAUUCAUUGAGAAUUUCCGGACCUUGCUUGACCUCUGCUUUAGAUUAUCGUUGACUUGUUUGCUCCAGUCUUGACUUGUGCGUUUUAACUUCUGGCUACUCUCUCUGGAUGAUCCUUGGACUUGGCAUCAUGAAUAUUAUUGCCAGUUGUGUUCCUAUUCCAUCUCUUCAACAACGUUGACAUCAGAGCCUUCUCAAUAUGACCAAGCUACUCCUCCUGUUGGCUGUUUUCUCAUUUACUUUCUUAAUGGCUGCAGGUUUCACCUGGACCGAUGAUCCAACUGUCAAGUGCAGAACUUCAGGAGGAUACUGUGAUUCUGCUAUUUGUCGCUGGCCUCUCAAAAACGCCGGAUACCGUUGCAAAAGUGGUAGACCAUGCUGUAAAAGCAUAUAUGGUUGACCUAAUCCAGCUCUUCUCAGGAGAUGUGACGAAUGACAAGACCUACCAUCAUAUCCACGCCAAGUCUUAGAUGUUAUUUCUUUAGUGUCUACCUGCCCCAGCCUCAUCCCUUUCCUGUGCUUUCUACCUUGCUUGAAAAUAUACCUUGCUUGGCAGGUACACUCAGAAAAAAAAGAAACGCUUCUCGUUUUCAAUAAAGUGGUUACCUAAGCAUCA